AGCAGCCGCGGUAAUUCCAGCUCCAAUAGCGUAUAUUAAAGUUGUUGCAGUUAAAAAGCUCGUAGUUGAAUUUCGGGGUCUGUCCAUUGGUCGGGCUUCACGGUCCGUACUGGUGUGAUGGGUUCCUACCUUCUGAAUAACCAGCAUGCCAUUUAGUUGGUGCGCCGGGGAAGCAGAGCUAUUACCUUGAAAAAUUAGAGUGCUUAAAGCAGGCUAGUGCUUGAAUAGAUUAGCAUGGAAUAAUAAAAUAGGACGGCAUGGUUCUAUUUUGUUGGUUUCUAGGAUCACCGUAAUGAUUAAUAGGGAUAGUUGGGGGCAUUAGUAUUCAAUUGUCAGAGGUGAAAUUCUUGGAUUUAUUGAAGACUAACUUCUGCGAAAGCAUUUGCCAAGGAUGUUUUCAUUAAUCAAGAACGAAAGUUAGGGGAUCGAAGACGAUCAGAUACCGUCGUA
rnacentral:rRNA from 1 species